rnacentral:rRNA from 1 species
CCUACGGGAGACAGCAGUGGGGGAUAUUGCACAAUGGGGGAAACCCUGAUGCAGCGACGCCGCGUGUGGGAAGACGGUCCUCUGGAUUGUAAACCACUGUCCCCAGGGACGAAGAUGACGGUACCUGGGGAGGAAGCUCCGGCUAACUACGUGCCAGCAGCCGCGGUAAUACGUAGGGAGCGAGCGUGGUCCGGAAUUACUGGGUGUAAGGGGAGCGUAGGCGGGACUGCAAGUUGGGUGUCAAAUCUACCGGCUCAACCGGUAGCCGCACUCAAAACUGCAGUUCUUGAGUGAAGUAGAGGCAGGCGGAAUUCCUAGUGUAGCGGUGAAAUGCGUAGAUAUUAGGAGGAACACCAGUGGCGAAGGCGGCCUGCUGGGCUGUUACUGACGCUGAGGCUCGAAAGUGUGGGGAGCAAACAGGAUUAGAUACCCGGGUAGUC